GCGACAGUAGCUCAGUCGGUUAGAGCACCGGAUUGUGGAUCCGGGGGUCGAGGGUUCGAGCCCCUUCUGUCGCCCA
rnacentral:tRNA from 1 species